AUUGAACGCUGGCGGCAGGCCUAACACAUGCAAGUCGAACGGCAGCACAGAAGGGCUUGCUCUUUGGGUGGCGAGUGGCGGACGGGUGAGUAAUGUCUGGGAAACUGCCCGAUGGAGGGGGAUAACUACUGGAAACGGUAGCUAAUACCGCAUAACGUCGCGAGACCAAAGUGGGGGACCUUCGGGCCUCACACCAUCGGAUGUGCCCAGAUGGGAUUAGCUAGUAGGUGGGGUAAUGGCUCACCUAGGCGACGAUCCCUAGCUGGUCUGAGAGGAUGACCAGCCACACUGGAACUGAGACACGGUCCAGACUCCUACGGGAGGCAGCAGUGGGGAAUAUUGCACAAUGGGCGCAAGCCUGAUGCAGCCAUGCCGCGUGUAUGAAGAAGGCCUUCGGGUUGUAAAGUACUUUCAGCGGGGAGGAAGGCGGUGAGGUUAAUAACCUCGCCGAUUGACGUUACCCGCAGAAGAAGCACCGGCUAACUCCGUGCCAGCAGCCGCCGCCG
rnacentral:rRNA from 1 species